rnacentral:lncRNA from 1 species
AGCAAAGUUGAAAGAAAAAAGAAGAGGGAUUCACGUCACAAUAACUUGGGGGACCACGGAGAGUAAAAAUCUCCAUCCUCUUACAUUAUUUUUCCAUAUACGCAGCUUCUUUUCCACAAAAACAGGGACCUCCGUACGACCAUCUUCCAUAUUCACACAGAAACUCACCCUCACUCUCAACAACAGUCACACACACGUAUGCUUGGAGGUUGAGAGAGAGCAUAGAAAGGGAAUUCGUAAGAGAGGGAAUUAGGAGAGGGAAAUCUAUACUGAGCGAGAGGGAGAGAGAUCGAGAAAAGAAGAGAAAAAGGGGCAAAGUGGACUGUUUUCACUGGAAAUCCAGCAAAAGUUCCCCGGAUUAGCCACCAGAAAAGAAUCUGGAUUGUUGUUGUUGUUGUUUCCAGCGAUUUAACGUCGGGAACGUCGCUGGUCGCCCGAAGUCAUCCAAAACUGAUCGCUUCUGCUAAAACUCACCUACAAUUCCAAAGAUCCACCCAAAACUUCUCUUUUUCCUUGUCGCUGGAUCUCACCGAAACUCUGGCGAUACAAAAACGACAUCCCAGUUUCAAUUCCGGCGAGGCUUGAUUAAGUUAUGUCAAAAAUCCGCAAUCUAAAAUUCUUCUAUUGGUUUCUGAUCUGUUUGGUUAGCGAUUCUCGAUACCGAGUUGAGUUCGUCGGCUGGGGUUCAACGUUGUGGUUCCAUUUGAACACGGUUCUAUUCGAAAAGAUCAAUUAAUUGAAAUAAAGCAUCAAAUUGAGGUCCAAUUUUACUUUCUUUCUCGUUUUAUCUCAUUAUUUAUGAUAUUUGUUGCAUUGAAUAAAAUAUUGUGUGUUAUUUGAUCCUUGUUGGUGGUGUAGAGUCGCUUUGUGCUGAUUCAUUGUUGCUCCUCUGAUUAUGGAUUAUGGUGAAAUGGUACCUCGUUUGAGAAUUGAAAUUGGUUAUUUGGGACAGAAUUGAAAAAUUGAUAAAAAGGGUG